rnacentral:rRNA from 1 species
UUUGAAAAUAUUGAGUCCACAUGACGGUACCCAAGGAGGAAGCCCCGGCUAACUACGUGCCAGCAGCCGCGGUAAUACGUAGGGGGCAAGCGUUGUCCGGAAUUAUUGGGCGUAAAGGGCGCGUAGGCGGAUGCUUAAGUCCGGUGUGAAAGAUCAGGGCUCAACCCUGAGAGUGCAUCGGAAACUGGGUAUCUUGAGGACAGGAGAGGAAAGUGGAAUUCCACGUGUAGCGGUGAAAUGCGUAGAUAUGUGGAGGAACACCAGUGGCGAAGGCGACUUUCUGGACUGUAACUGACGCUGAGGCGCGAAAGCGUGGGGAGCAAACAGGAUUAGAUACCCUGGUAGUCCACGCCGUAAACGAUGAGUGCUAGGUGUAGAGGGUAUCGACCCCUUCUGUGCCGCAGUUAACACAAUAAGCACUCCGCCUGGGGAGUACGGCCGCAAGGUUGAAACUCAAAUGAAUUGACGG